UACAGAGGGGGCAAGGCGUUAUUCGGAAUUAUUGGGCGUAAAGGGGCGCGUAGGCGGCUUGGCAAGUGGAUGGUGAAAUCCCUCGGCUUAACCGAGGAACUGCCGUCCAAACUGCUUCGCUUGAGACCGGGAGAGGUGAGUGGAAUUCCCAGUGUAGCGGUGAAAUGCGUAGAUAUUGGGAGGAACACCAGUGGCGAAGGCGGCUCACUGGACCGGUACUGACGCUGAUGCGCGAAAGCGUGGGGAGCAAACGGG
rnacentral:rRNA from 1 species